rnacentral:rRNA from 1 species
GAUGAACGCUGACAGAAUGCUUAACACAUGCAAGUCUACUUGAUCCUUCGGGUGAUGGUGGCGGACGGGUGAGUAACGCGUAAAGAACUUGCCCUGCAGUCUGGGACAACAUUUGGAAACGAAUGCUAAUACCGGAUAUUAUGUGAGUUUCGCAUGAAAUUCAUAUGAAAGCUAUAUGCGCUGCAGGAGAGCUUUGCGUCCUAUUAGCUAGUUGGUGAGGUAACGGCUCACCAAGGCGAUGAUAGGUAGCCGGCCUGAGAGGGUGAACGGCCACAAGGGGACUGAGACACGGCCCUUACUCCUACGGGAGGCAGCAGUGGGGAAUAUUGGACAAUGGACCAAAAGUCUGAUCCAGCAAUUCUGUGUGCACGAUGAAGUUUUUCGGAAUGUAAAGUGCUUUCAGUUGGGAAGAAGUCAGUGACGGUACCAACAGAAGAAGCGACGGCUAAAUACGUGCCAGCAGCCGCGGUAAUACGUAUGUCGCAAGCGUUAUCCGGAUUUAUUGGGCGUAAAGCGCGUCUAGGCGGUUUAGUAAGUCUGAUGUGAAAAUGCGGGGCUCAACCCCGUAUUGCGUUGGAAACUGCUAAACUAGAGUACUGGAGAGGUAGGCGGAACUACAAGUGUAGAGGUGAAAUUCGUAGAUAUUUGUAGGAAUGCCGAUGGGGAAGCCAGCCUACUGGACAGAUACUGACGCUAAAGCGCGAAAGCGUGGGUAGCAAACAGG